UUUGCCCUCAAGGAUUACUAGACAGUGCAAAGAGUACCUGCUACAACAAUUACCAAAAUGAUCAAACUGCAUCCCAACUGCAUUGUUGUAUGAUCGAAUACAGCAGGACUUGUGUUCCGGAAAUACUCGCAAGACAAGGAUGCGAUGUGACGGUUCUUCUUGAGCGGUUCUUCAAGGACAUCAACGCUGAUUGUGGAACAUCGAAGCCAGUCUGCUUGGAGUGCAAUCAGAAAGCAAUAUCCGAUGCGGAAGAUGUGUGCUUGAGGAAAUACGUACAGGAACACGGCAUCAUUUCUAAAGGCCUGUUGUCCAACAAUGAAAAACGACU